rnacentral:rRNA from 1 species
AAUCAACGCUGGCGGCGUGCCUCAGACAUGCAAGUCGAACGAUUAAAGCUCUCUUCGGAGAGUGCAUAGAGUGGCGCACGGGUGAGUAACACGUAAGUAAUCUACCUUCGAGUGGGGAAUAACAUCGGGAAACCGAUGCUAAUACCGCAUAAUGCAGCGGCAUCGCAAGAUGACAGUUGUUAAAAGGUAAUUUAUUUCGCUUGAAGAGGAGCUUGCGGCAGAUUAGCUAGUUGGUAAGGUAAUGGCUUACCAAGGCUACGAUCUGUAACCGGUCUAAGAGGACGGUCGGUCACACUGACACUGAAUAACGGGU